AUUGAACGCUGGCGGCAUGAUUUACACAUGCAAGUCGAACGGUAACAGGCCGCAAGGUGCUGACGAGUGGCGAACGGGUGAGUAAUUCAUCGGAACGUGCCCAGUCGUGGGGGAUAACUAAUCGAAAGAGUAGCUAGUACCGCAUACGAUCUGUGGAUGAAAUGGGGGGACCGGAAGGCCUCGCGUGAGUGGAGCGGGCGGUGUCCGAGUCGGUAGUUGGUGGGGGAAAGGCACACCAAGCCAACGAUUUGUAGGUGGUGCCUGAGGACGAGGAGCCACACUGGGACGGAGCCACGGCCCAGACUCCUGCGGGACGCCGCAGUGUGCAACUUUGGACAAUGGUCGCAAGCCUUAUCCAGCAAUGCCGCGCGCAGGACGACGGCCUUCGGGUUGUAAUCUGCUCUUGCGCGGAAUGAACCGGCUCCGGUUAAUACCAGGCGCUAAUGACGGUACCGUAAGAAUAAGCACCGGCUAACUACGUG
rnacentral:rRNA from 1 species